GAUGUAUGUGCGGGUGUAGGAGAUAAUUUUCUCCUCAAUUAUAAUUCUCUCUUUUCUCUCACAGUAAACACAACACACACCUACGCCACUCUCUCAUCUCUCCCGCGGCUUCUCUCUCUCAUACCCUUACCAAAUUUCUUCCCCAAAUCUCAAAUUAACCAAGGGAUCUUGGAGCAUUCUUCUCCUAGAGUUGAGUUCUAGCUUUUGAUCGCGUUGGAAAGCUCGGAGGAGGUGUUUUCGGGAGAAGUUUUGCCUGGAGAUUCUUGAGGUUUUAAUUUCAACCUUCGAGGUAGGGAUCUCCUGCCUUCUUUACAUGUUUAAGUGUUAGUUUGAUGUACAAGAAUCAAGUUUGUUCAUCUAUUUUGAGUCUGGAAUAAAUCUAGUGUAUGCUGAAAAUUUCGUGGAUUUUGGUAAUCUGUCUAUUGGGGGCCCUUCUGCUAGGAACCAAUUUUUGGUGUCUUCAUAACCGUUAAAGUACGUUUCAAUACAAAGAUUUCGGUACCAAGAUCAUGCAAAACCGAUAAUCACACAAUUAGUUAUGAAUUUUUGAAUACUGCCGGUUUGCUGGAUGCGCGAAUCUGUGCGUGGCUGUCUUCUUUUAACUUUCUGGGCAUGAUGAACUUUUUGGGUGGCUUUGGGUCUUUUACAGGAGCUGCAUAUUUAAGUUAAGGAGAGAUUGGCAUUGGAAUCAAGUAAUUUGUUUAAGUAUACAAUUUUUGGUGAAUUUCUAAAGCAGGGUUGGUUGACUGGUGCGAAAAUGAUUGCGAAUCGGUUUUUCUUUUGAUUGUUGGGUUAACCUCCUCUCGUUUCUGAACUUGAAAUUUUUAUUGAGUGUAGUGCUUGUUGUGGUGCAACAUUUGGUGGUGGUUUCAAAAUUUUUGGGUUUAAGAUGAAAAGGUUAUGAUUUUUCUAAGAGAGUAUGGCAAAUUUGUUCAAAGAAAUUUGUGGUGCCUUGUGUGCCGGGACUUUUGGGGGUUUUGGAAGAACUGAGUUUUAAUCUAGGGAUCUCUCUCUCUCUAUGCUUGUUUAUGUGGUAGCUUAGUACAUUAUCGAGUGUCUAAACCCUAUGCUUGAAGCAAGUAUGUAUAUGCCUUGGUGUGCACUUAAUCCGCGUUUUUGGUAGAGUAAUGAAAUUGUGAGCCAAGCCCUAAUUUAUAUGUUUGGAAUUGUGUGCUAUACAUGAUUUUUGGUGAGGGAUUUUGUAGAUAUUCAUGGUUAGAGUAGAUAUUUUACUGCUUUUGGCAUACUUGGUCCUCAUUAGUAGCGGGUUCACCUUUUAAGUGAUCAAAAUCAUGAAUUUAAGUGAUACGAGGAUAUUAGCUAGUUUAUGCACACUGUGUUUGAGGAAAUGGAAGUAAUUUAUAUGGGCACAAGUCUAUACCAAGUAUACUUGUCUCUUUGCAUUUAGUAACGGGUGAAAGAAAUUUCGUGAUAUAUGGCUUGGGAUACUCGUUGAAUACACGUACGUAGCUAAUGUUUUUAUUGUUGAAACUUCAUUGAAUUUUUGUUCUACAUUCAUUCAUUCCGAUGAAUUUGGGUAAGUUAUUCAAGGAAAUUUGGUCGAUUUUAGUUGAUUUGGGCUUUAAGGCCAAGUAUUUGAGAUAUUUUGGAAUAUAAUAGUUUAGUGAUUUUCAGUUGGGUCACCGGGGAACUUGGGUCAAUUGUGACACCGUCGGUGAAAGUCCGUAAACCUACUGGGUCAAUUAUGACGCCGUCGGUGAAAGUCCGUAAACCCGCGCGGGGUAGGUUUCUUCGUCCUUCGGGUUAGUAGCCUGUAAAGUGCAUGUGCUAGAGACGUCUAGUACGGUUGUCGGUUGAUUGCAUUGGUGAGCUACUCAUAUAAAUUUUAUGUCUCUGUGUUGAGUAAAUUUAAUGUUCGAUUUGGUUGGUUAUUCUAUUAUGAGCUUUGUUAUUUUCCGUAUCGACUUUUAUAGGUAAUUUCCUUUAUUAGGGACUUGAUUUGAGUUCGUGGUUUAAUAUCAUUCUUUUGAGCAUUUGAAGGAAAGGAAAAAUUGGAAAUGCUUAAUAUAAUGCAUAGAUUACUUUUGCUGUGUUGGCUUGACUUUGGAUUGGGAUUUUAUAACUUCAUUGUAAGUAUUGAAAGAGAAGAAAGCAUGAAAGACUUUUCAAUACUUAUAUGUAAAAAAGUAUAUUUUGUGUAUCAAGCUUUGCAUGUUCAUGGUGAGUUUCCUUAUUGUCGAGGUGCGGUAUUGUUCGAUGUGUCAUUGUUACUUCAUAUUCUAACUCUACAAGCGUAAUGUGUAUUUUUGGUGGGAGGUUGGCUAGUUGUUUAAGAAAAGAGAAAGAAAACAUUUUAUUAAAGAACUCAGAUAAAUCUGUGGGUCACUGAAAUGGAGAUUGAAAGAGUAAAGAUCGAUUUGGUAGUAAGGGUAAGCUGAGGUUUCUAGCACAUUCGUGUGUGUGGGUGAAAACGUCAGUAUUUGAUAAAUGGAGUUAAAUAUUUGCCAGCAUGGGUAUGGUAUUUGUGUUCUACUUUUUGAUAAAACAAAUAUGCUUUCGGAAAAAAUGUUUUUUCUUGAUGUCUAUCUUCACUUCUGCAUAUAAUUUAGGUAUGGAUAUCUCUACGAGCUAGUGUAGCUCACCCUAUCCUUUCAGGUACUCGCCAUGGCACUUAGCUUGGGUUGCAUGGAGUGCACAUUGAGACGUCUCUUGAGAGCUUCAUUGGUAUCGUUAAGUGUUUAUCAUCUAGUCUAAUUCAUGUUAUGUACUUUACUCGAAAUUGAAGGUUGUACCUUUUGGCUAGAAUAUAUGUAAAGCCAUGUAUAAAUUCCUCUCCUCGAUUAUUAUGAAACUCAUUUAAUUGUAAAUGUUUGGGAGACUUUUUGAAAAAAAAAAUAGAGAGAAGAAGAAGAAGAGACUUUGAUUCGUUGUUUGGAUUGGCAUGACAUUUAAGGGUAAAUAUAGUUAGAGAGAAAGACUUUUGUUUGUGGAAAAUGUAUUAUUAUUUUAGCUGAAAAUUGAGGGCAUGACAACUUGGUAUCAGAGCAUAGGUUUAGAAUACUUUAGGAUCGUGGGAAGACACUUAGUCUCAUGGGUCUAUCAGUUGCAUUGGGGCAUGAAUGGUGUGUGUUUACUUGAAUAGCUUUCAGCUGUUUACAUGGCAUUGCAAUUGCAUUUGUGUAGGGUUGUAUAGACUUGUUGACCCGUGUUGAGAUUGAUAAAAUGGAUAAAAAUUGUGUAAGGUAUUAUGAGACUGAAAUGAACUUGAUUACUAUUGGACUUCCUAGAACCAUGAGUUGCGAAGUGUUGGGUAUGUGUGAGCCUUCUAGAUCUUGUGCGAUGUGAUGGUUGAUGGUAGUUUUUCUUCCCUAACUGUUUUAGUAGUUGGAAAUUACAUGUUUUAAGAAUAUGUAUAUUUGUAGAAAGUUAUCUAUUGAUGUUUGCUCUAUGUAUUUGCUCAUGAUUUGCACCAUUAUGUUUGGUGACUAUUUUGUGUUGUCCUAAGUGGUAAAACUUGAAAUGAUGGUGUAUCCAAUAUGUGCAUAAUAAGUGAUAUGUUGACUGCUAUGUGAAACUCAUUUUUCUUGGACUUGAGGAUCUACUUCCGGAUAUUCAGUUUGAAGCGCGGCUGGCCACCGCGACUUCAGGAUUGAAUACCUAGAAUAGAAGCUCUUUGAACAAGAUAAAAGAAAAGGAUUUGCCUUCUGCUAUGGAAGUAUGGAACUGGAUAAGGAUAGAUCAUGUGACGCUAUAGUUAAAGAUUUGUAUCCCUUGUCGAUUUUAUACCUCUAAACAUGGAAUUAUUGUAUUGUGAAGGGUAUGCAUGUCUAAGUAACUCAACUUGUUUUGUCUUUUGUAAGUACGUGCCCUUGUAUCUUAUUAAGAAUUGAGAACAAUGGAGUAAAGUUGUUAAACCCUUUUGGAAUUGAAACUCUUUCUAUUACCCUCGUGAGAUUCAGUUGGUACGUGUGUCCCUGAAAUUAAGUGAUGUUAAGAGUAUGAUUUGGUGAUGUUAUUUGAUUAACUAGAACUCUAGUGUGAACCUUUGAUUUAUGUUAGUUUCAUGUUGAUUCUACACUGAAAGAAAUGUUGAAAUGAAAGGUUAGGCCUUGAAAGGAACGCUUGGAUAUGUAGAACAUGAUGGGGUUAUUCUGGUGUAAGGAUUUUGAGUCACAAAGAAAAGGAAAAGAGGAAUCCAUGUGGGUAACGAAUGAUGAGAUAGAGGGAAGUAUUUGGACUUGUUUUUCUUGUGAUCGAUGUAGGUCUCUUGGAUUUAGAUUUUGUGGUUGUUGACUUGUUGAACUUUCUCGGAUGUUGUGCUACAUGUGGUGACGGUGGUAUUGUGCGUUUCAGGUGUUACAUGACAUGGUCGACUUGGUUUAUCCUAAUUUCGUGGACGAAAUUUCUUUAAGGGGGUAGGAUGUAGAGACCCGUAUUAAAAACCUAUUUAUUUUUAAUGUUGGGGAUAUUAGAGGACCCUUUUUAAAAGAAUUGAUUAUUAUGGUGGAUAAUGAAUUGGGGAUUGAUGUGCCAGAAGUUGAAAAUUCGGUGCAAUUGUGAAAUAUGUGAGUGUAUGGCAUGUGAUAGAUGUAUGUGUGGGUGUAGGAGAUAAUUUUCUCCUCAAUUAUAAUUCUCUCUUUUCUCUCACAGUAAACACAACACACACCCACGCCACUCUCUCAUCUCUCCCGCGGCUUCUCUCUCUGUCUCUCUCUCUCUCUCUCUCUCUCUCUCUCUCUCUCUCUCAUACCCUUACCAAAUUUCUUCCCCAAAUCUCAAAUUAACCAAGGGAUCUUGAAGCAUUCUUCUCCUAGAGUCAAGUUCUAGCCUUUGAUCGCGUUGGAAAGCUCGGAGGAGGUGUUUUCGGGAGAGGUUUUGCCUGGAGAUUCUUGGGGUUUUAAUUUCAACCUUCGAGGGCUUCAGACACACUCAAAAGAAUCCUAGGACUUCGACAAAUGUGGAUUUUUUGGAGGGUUCCAACUUAAAACAAAUUGGCAAUAGAUGGAGUAGUCUCUAAAAUAUAUUAACCAAGCUUGGGUGGCUUAGAUGAGCGAUGUGAGACAAGUCCAAUACUCCCCCUGACAUGCAGCCCGGAUGCACGUGGAGGUGACAGACCAAGAGCUAAGUGAUUGACUCAGGGACGAAGAUAACAGAGACUUUCCCAUGAGAGUAUUAUAUGCAUGAUUGAGCCAUAAAACAUACCUGAGGAGGAAUUCCCAAUUCCAGGAAAAGGGGCCCUAGGAUGAAGCCUCCUCCUAGACCAAGCAAUCCACCUACUACACCAGCUAUUAUUCCGCAGCAACAGUA